UAUAGUUUAUUAGAUCUUACUCUACUUGGAUACCUGUGGUAACCUAAGAGCUAAUACAUGCAACUAAGUCCUGACCGGAAGGGAAGGAUGCAUUUAUUAGAACAAAACCAAUCGGGCUUGCCCGCUUUUUGGUGAAUCUGAAUAACUAUGCUGAUCGCACAGUCCACGUACUGGCGACGUAUCUUUCAAAUGUCUGCCUUAUCAACUUUCGAUGGUAGUUUACACGGCUACCAUGGUUUUCACGGGUAACGGAGAAUUAGGGUUCGACUCCGGAGAGGGAGCCUGAGAAACGGCUACCACA
rnacentral:rRNA from 1 species